rnacentral:rRNA from 1 species
UACGUAGGGGGCAAGCGUUGUCCGGAAUUAUUGGGCGUAAAGAGCGUGUAGGCGGUAAAUUAAGUUGGAUGUAAAAGGCAUGGGCUCAACCUGUGUAAGCAUCCAAAACUGAUAUACUUGAGUGCAGGAGAGGAAAGUGGAAUUCCCGGUGUAGCGGUGGAAUGCGUAGAGAUCGGGAGGAACACCAGUGGCGAAGGCGACUUUCUGGCCUGUAACUGACGCUGAGACGCGAAAGCGUGGGGAGCAAACAGG